CCAGACUGUGGCAGUGAGGCUUGCGGUGCCUCCUCCCUGGAUCUCCCCUCUGUCUGCCUCCAGCCUCGCCUCUGAGCCUGCUCUUGAAGCGACGGUACCAUCUGCUGACGCCAACAGGCCCUGCUCGCUGACCAGACCCCAGACUGUUCCUGACCCACAGGCUCUGCUCGCUGACCAGACCCCAGACUGUUCCUGACCCCA
rnacentral:lncRNA from 1 species